rnacentral:ncRNA from 1 species
UUUCAGACGUUGAUCGGGAGUAGUAAUGAAUGUUUUCUGUCUUAGAGAGUUGACGGGUGGUGGAAGUCAACCGGGAACAUCAUGAACUCGCCUGCUGAGUUGCAAGUGUGAACAAUCAGUAAGACUUGCCGUUUUCCGCGUUAAGGAUGAAUGAAGCUGAGUGCGCGUACACUAAUGUGGGUGGUACCGCGGGAGAAUAUAUACAUAACUCUCGUCCCAAAU